UCCAGGGGAUCUUCCCGGCCCAGGGAUCAACUCCCAUCUCCUGCCCUGGUAGGCAGAUUUCUUUACCACUGAGCCAGCUUGUUCAGUCACUAAGUCGUGUCUGACUCUUUGCGAUCUCAUGGACUGCAGCCUGCCAGGCUGCCCUGUCCUUCACCACCUCCCGGAGUUUGCUCACACUUAUGUCCAGUGAGUCGGUAAUAACAUCCAAUAAGUCAGGGACCAUCUGUAAAUGGAAUGUGUGAAAAAUGCAGCUUCGUUUAAACAUUCGAAAAUUACCCUGAGAAUCGUUGCUUUGACAAGUGGUGUCAGAUGUUUGUUGUGUGUCCCUUAGAGAAGUGGAAAAUAAAACCUCGCGUUUGAAUUUAACUGGGGAUGAUGGCUGGAGUCACUGUUCUGCAUAUAACAGUUCGUGUCAAGCUCUGGGCCAGGCCUGUGAGCCAGGGCCUCUCCGAGCAGCAGGUGGGGGUGACGACAAUGGUAGAAAGAGUCAGCUGCUCUGGUCCGCUCUCCCUUUCCCUCCCUGUCAUCCUGGCCCAAAUCUCCUCUGGCAGAAGUUGUGGGUUUUUUCGCCCUUGUGGCUUUAGAAAUCAGUGUUUAUGACAUCUUAAGGAGGGAAACUUUAUUCUGGUUUUGUGCUGGUCCGCAGCCAUUAGGCUAUUUCACCUUUCUGUCCUGGAUUAGGAGACCGAAGUUUCCCAUUUUGAUCACAUGUUUCUUUUCGGUCAGUCAAAUAUGAAACAGUCUGAUUUGCACAACUGAAAGUCAUCAGGGGAGAUUCAGAAAUGAAGUGAUUGACCAUCCAUCAUGUUCUCCUAAACACUGUUUUUUGUUCCUGAGGCCAUUGUCAGGGCAGACUGGAAUGUGACAAGUUCCUUUUCUCAGGCGUGUCUCCAGUGGUCUUUGUUGAGAUCUAUUUUAUCCUGGGUGAUGUCAUGAGCUUCCAAAUCCCACACACCUGUCUGUGUUUGCAUCUUUGACUUCUGUUUGCUUCUGGCUUUGACCUUGGACAAAUUUUUUGACUUCUUUGAAGCUAGGCUUUCUCACCUGUAAAGCGGUGUUGGUGCCACUUAACUUCCCUGUCUGGGAGAUUCUCAUGUGGAGAAAUGGACCUUACUGCAUCACCCUCUCUUGUGCUUUGAGCCCCAUACCUGUCCUGGGGAGGUUUUCAUGACUGUGGCCUUUGGGGUCUUGUGCACACUUGCAGAUUUUUUUUUUAAAUGUUAAGUAGAGAUUUUGUGUGAUGCCUCACCAUCUGAAUUAAACAGGAGUGCAGGGGUUUGAUAUUAUUUAGAUAUUCAGUCUGAUGUUUAAAGAAUGUGUUUCCAUUGUAAGUAUUGAUAUUUAAAGAUAAUGGUAAGUGGCUAAGGAUUAGAAUCCCCAGUCUUUGCUCUGUCUCUGAAAUUCCUGGUGCAGGAAGAGAGGUGAGGGAUGGGGUCAGCAAGUUUCACUCCAGUCUGAAACCUGGAGUGGAGAAUGGUCCUGGCUUGUAGACUGGGGGCCCCAGCAGCCAGUGGCUGCUCUGUGCCUCUUGCAAGAAGGCCUGACAUGUCCUCUCUACCUUGGGGGAUCAGGGAGGGAGGUGAAGCAUCUAGUGUUCAACAGACAUCUUUUCUAGAUAUAUGAAUUGUUUCAGGAAGAGUCUUUUGUGAUUUUUCAUUCUUAAAAAAACUGUGUCCACUUAAGGUUUUUUUUUCCCUUCCUCAAGUAAUUAUGUGUUCAUUUUAGAAACGGUGUGUGUGUGUGUGUGUGUGUGUUUUAGUCACUUGAUUGUGUCAAACUCUUUUUGACUCCAUACACUAUACUUCAGCAGGCUCCUCUGACCAUGAGAUUUCCCAGGCAAGAACACUGGAGUGGGUUGCCAUUUCCUUCUCCAGUGCAUGAAAGUGAAAAGUGGAAAGUGAAAGUGAAGUUGUUCAGUCGUGUCCGACCCUCAGCGACCCCAUGGACUGCAGCCUACCAGGCUCCUCCGUCCAUGGGAUUUUCCAGGCAAGAGUAUUGGAGUGGGGUGCCAUCACCUUCUCUGACAUGUAAAUCUAGAUCCUUCCAAAAGCAACAAGAUGGUGAAGUGGGAACUUGGUUUUUUGUUCACUAGAUGCCUGACACAUAGUUAUCCUUCAGUUAGUCCUUCCCUGUUGAAUGAAUACGACACCUUUUACCAAAAAAAUUGUUGAUAUACCUUCAGAUCAAUAAGUAGAGAUUUGCAUCCUCAGUUUUACUGUCAAUCUCUUAGGGGAUGCACCCUCUUAACAAGUCCUUGUUCAUAGACAGUUUCCAAAUUAUAAAAGUUACUGCAGUGAACAUCUUUCAAAACAUGUAAGUUUUUUCUUCCAAUGAUUUUCUUUUCUUUUAUUCUUAACUUCUAUAAAGAACUUCUAACUUUAUUAAUGAUUGGGUGAAGGUAUAAUUGAAGGAGGAAACAGCAACCCACUCCAGUAUUCUUGCCUGGAGAAUCCCAUGGACAGAUGAGCCUGGUGGGCUACAGUGUAUGGGGUCACAGAGUCAGACACAGCUUAGCUACUGAGCACACACAAAGACAUAAUCGCUGCUCAGAAAAGCAUGUGCAAAGGGAGUGGCAUCCGGGAGAGUUUCUCUAUCUGUUGAGUGAAACUUGGUGAACUUUGAGAUCCGUCUCAGCCUCUCUGGCACUCCUUUGCAAGGAAUUGAUUUUUUUUUUAAUUAAUGUAAUUAUUUAUUUGGCUGCACCGGG
ensembl:lncRNA